CAUAUUCAUUUAUUAUAUCAAAAAUUUAUUUAGAACGGAAAAUGUAUCAUUUUUUAUUUAAAUUGCUGGUUGUUUGUAUUGUAAUUAUCCUGCGGCCAACCUAUUCUAUGGUUAACAAUUAUGUUAACUCUUUUCGAACGAGCAAUUUAAAUACUGUUCUACUUCACUGCGCAAAUGGUGAUAAAGAAUGGCCUUGCGAACCUCAAUUACUUAUAACUAUUAACUUUAUACCCAAUUUAAAUGUGGAAGCUCACGACAACCUUCUUAUACUGGAUGAUGCUUACGAGCCUACUAAACGUCAAAAUUUAAAAAUAAUGUCUCCGUACAUAAUUAUAGUUAGCAGAAGCGAGCCAAUAAUUAUGCACCCACUACUGAAACCAAAAUGGACGAGUUUUAAUAAUUAUAGUGGUUGGAUAGUCGGGGAGUGAACCAGGGUGGCUUUGAAGAAGCGAUUGAGAGAAUUGAAUUAGGAAUACAAGCAUCUAAGAUGGAGUUCAGG